ACGUAGGGUGCAAGCGUUAUCCGGAAUUAUUGGGCGUAAAGAGCUCGUAGGCGGUUUGUCGCGUCUGUCGUGAAAGUCCGGGGCUCAACUCCGGAUCUGCGGUGGGUACGGGCAGACUAGAGUGAUGUAGGGGAGACUGGAAUUCCUGGUGGAGCGGGGGGAUGCCGAGAUAUCAGGAGGAACACCGGAGGCGAAGGCAGGGCUCUGGGGAAUAACCUGCGCUGGAGGGCGGAAACAUGGGGAGCGAACAG
rnacentral:rRNA from 1 species